rnacentral:tRNA from 1 species
UCCCUGGUGGCUCAGACGGUAAAGCGUCUGCCUGCAAUGCGGGAGACCCGGGUUCAAUCCCUGUUUUGGGAA